UUCUUGGGUGGUUGUACAUUCUCUGA
rnacentral:piRNA from 1 species